AGAGUUUGAUCCUGGCUCAGAACGAACGCUGACGGCGUGGAUAAGACAUGCAAGUCGAACGAGAGAAUUGCUAGCUUGCUAAUAAUUCUCUAGUGGCGCACGGGUGAGUAACACGUGAGUAACCUGCCCCCGAGAGCGGGAUAGCCCUGGGAAACUGGGAUUAAUACCGCAUAGUAUCGAAAGAUUAAAGCAGCAAUGCGCUUGGGGAUGGGCUCGCGGCCUAUUAGUUAGUUGGUGAGGUAACGGCUCACCAAGGCGAUGACGGGUAGCCGGUCUGAGAGGAUGUCCGGCCACACUGGAACUGAGACACGGUCCAGACACCUACGGGUGGCAGCAGUCGAGAAUCAUUCACAAUGGGGGAAACCCUGAUGGUGUGACGCCGCGUGGGGGAAUGAAGGUCUUCGGAUUGUAAACCCCUGUCAUGUGGGAGCAAAUUAAAAAGAUAGUACCACAAGAGGAAGAGACGGCUAACUCUGUGCCAGCAGCCGCGGUAAUACAGAGGUCUCAAGCGUUGUUCGGAAUCACUGGGCGUAAAGCGUGCGUAGGCUGUUUCGUAAGUCGUGUGUGAAAGGCGCGGGCUCAACCCGCGGACGGCACAUGAUACUGCGAGACUAGAGUAAUGGAGGGGGAACCGGAAUUCUCGGUGUAGCAGUGAAAUGCGUAGAUAUCGAGAGGAACACUCGUGGCGAAGGCGGGUUCCUGGACAUUAACUGACGCUGAGGCACGAAGGCCAGGGGAGCGAAAGGGAUUAGAUACCCCUGUAGUCCUGGCAGUAAACGGUGCACGCUUGGUGAGCGGGGAAUCGACCCCCUGCGUGCCGGAGCUGACGCGUUAAGCGUGCCGCCUGGGGAGUACGGUCGCAAGAUUAAAACUCAAAGAAAUUGACGGGGACCCGCACAAGCGGUGGAGUAUGUGGCUUAAUUCGAUGCAACGCGAAGAACCUUACCUGGGCUUGACAUGUAAUGAACAACAUGUGAAAGCAUGCGACUCUUCGGAGGCGUUACACAGGUGCUGCAUGGCCGUCGUCAGCUCGUGUCGUGAGAUGUUUGGUUAAGUCCAGCAACGAGCGCAACCCCUGUUGCCAGUUACCAGCACGUGAAGGUGGGGACUCUGGCGAGACUGCCCAGAUCAACUGGGAGGAAGGUGGGGACGACGUCAGGUCAGUAUGGCCCUUAUGCCCAGGGCUGCACACGUACUACAAUGCCCAGUACAGAGGGGGCCGAAGCCGCGAGGCGGAGGAAAUCCUAAAAACUGGGCCCAGUUCGGACUGUAGGCUGCAACCCGCCUACACGAAGCCGGAAUCGCUAGUAAUGGCGCAUCAGCUACGGCGCCGUGAAUACGUUCCCGGGUCUUGUACACACCGCCCGUCA
rnacentral:rRNA from 1 species